UGAGCUCGCGUCUGAUUAGCUAGUUGGUGGGGUAAGAGCCUACCAAGGCGACGAUCAGUAGCUGGUCUGAGAGGAUGAUCAGCCACACUGGGACUGAGACACGGCCCAGACUCCUACGGGAGGCAGCAGUGGGGAAUUUUCCGCAAUGGGCGCAAGCCUGACGGAGCAAGACCGCGUGCGGGAGGACGGCCUAUUGGUUGUAAACCGCUUUUGAUAGGGAAGAAACUCUGACGGUACCUAUCGAAUCAGCAUCGGCUAACUCCGUGCCAGCAGCCGCGGUAAUACGGAGGAUGCAAGCGUUAUCCGGAAUUAUUGGGCGUAAAGCGUCCGUAGGUGGUUGUUCAAGUCUGCUGUUAAAGCGUGCGGCUUAACCGCAUACCAGCAGUGGAAACUGGACGACUAGAGUGCGGUAGGGGUCAGGGGAAUUCCCAGUGUAGCGGUGAAAUGCGUAGAUAUUGGGAAGAACACCGGUGGCGAAAGCGCCUGACUGGACCUGCACUGACACUGA
rnacentral:rRNA from 1 species